AGCCUGCAGGGAGAGAGAGAGAGAGAUGGACUAGGUGGUAAAGCCAGCAGGGAGAGGGAGAGAGCUGGACUAGGUGGUAAAGCCAGCAGGGAGAGAGAGAGAGAUGGACUAGGUGGUAAAGCCUGCAGGGAGAGAGAGCGAGAUGGACUAGGUGGUAAAGCCUGCAGGGAGGGAGAGAGAGAUGGACUAGGUGCUAAAGCCAGCAGAGAGAGAGAGAGAGAGAUGGACUAGGUGGUAAAGCCAGCAGGGAGAGAUGGAGAGAGAGAGAGAGCUGGACUAGGUGGUAAAGCCUGCAGUGAGAGGGAGAGAGAUGGACUAAGUUUUAAUUCCUGCAGGGAGAGAGAGAGAGAUGGACUAGGUGGUAAAGCCUGCAGGGAGAGAGAGAGAGAGAAAGAGAUGGACUAGGUGGUAAAGCCUGCAGGGAGAGAGACAUGGACUAGGUGGUAAAGCCUGCAGGGAGAGAGAGAUGGACUAGGUGGUAAAGCCUGCAGGGAGUGAGGGAGAGAGAUGGACUAGGUGGUAAAGCCAGCAGGGAGGGAGGGAGAGAGGGAGGGAGGGAGAGAGGGAGAGAGGGAGAGAACUAGAACUAGGUGGUAAAGCCUGCAGGGAGAGAGAGAGAGAGAGGACUAGGUGGUAAAGCCUGCAGGGAGAGAGAGAGAUGGACUAGGUGGUAAAGCCUGCAGGGAGAGAGAGAGAGAUGGACUAGGUGGUAAAGCCUGCAGGGAGAGAGAGAGAAAGAGAUGGACUAGGUGGUAAAGCCUGCAGGGAGAGAGAGAGAAAGAGAUGGACUAGGUGGUAAAGCCUGCAGGGAGAGAGAGAUGGACUAGGUGGUAAAGCCUGCAGAGGGAGAGAGAGAGAGAUGGACUAGGUGGUAAAGCCUGCAGAGGGAGAGAGAGAGAGAUGGACUAGGUGGUAAAGCCUUCAGGGAGAGAGAGAUGGACUAGUUGGUAAAGCCUGCAGAGGGAGAGAGAGAGAUGGACUAGGUGGUAAAGCCUGCAGAGAGAGAGAGAGAGAGAGAUGGACUAGGUGGUAAAUCCUGCAGGGAGAGAGAGAGAGAUGGACUAGGUGGUAAAGCCUGCAGAGGGAGAGAGAGAGAGAUGGACUAGGUGGUAAAGCCUGCAGAGGGAGAGAGAGAGAGAGAGAGAUGGACUAGGUGGUAAAGCCUUCAGGGAGAGAGAGAUGGACUAGUUGGUAAAGCCUGCAGAGGGAGAGAGAGAGAUGGACUAGGUGGUAAAGCCUGCAGAGAGAGAGAGAGAGAGAUGGACUAGGUGGUAAAGCCUGCAGGGAGAGAGAGAGAGAUGACUAGGUGGUAAAGCCUGCAGGGAGACAGAGAGAGAGAUGGACUAGGUGGUAAAGCCGGCAGAGAGAGAGAGAGCGAGAGAGAGAGAUGGACUAGGUGGUAAAGCCAGCAGGGAGAGAUGGAAAGAGAGAGAGAUGGACUAGGUAGUAAAGCCUGUAGGGAGAGAGAGAGAGAGAUGGACUAGGUGCUAAAGCCAGCAGAGAGAGAGAGAGAGAGAUGGACUAGGUGGUAAAGCCAGCAGGGAGAGAUGGAGAGAGAGAGAGAGCUGGACUAGGUGGUAAAGCCUGCAGUGAGAGGGAGAGAGAUGGACUAAUUUUUAAUUCCUGCAGGGAGAGAGAGAGAGAUGGACUAGGUGGUAAAGCCUGCAGGGAGAGAGAGAGAGAGAAAGAGAUGGACUAGGUGGUAAAGCCUGCAGGGAGAGAGACAUGGACUAGGUGGUAAAGCCUGCAGGGAGAGAGAGAUGGACUAGGUGGUAAAGCCUGCAGGGAGAGAGGGAGAGAUAUGGACUAGGUGGUAAAGCCAGCAGGGAGGGAGGGAGGGAGGGAGGGAGGGAGGGAGGGAGGGAGGGAGGGAGGGAGAGAGAGAGGGAGAGAACUAGAACUAGGUGGUAAAGCCUGCAGGGAGAGAGAGAGAGAGGACUAGGUGGUAAAGCCUACAGGGAGAGAGAGAGAUGGACUAGGUGGUAAAGCCUGCAGGGAGAGAGAGAGAGAUGGACUAGGUGGUAAAGCCUGCAGGGAGAGAGAGAGAGAUGGACUAGGUGGUAAAGCCUGCAGGGAGAGAGAGAGAAAGAGAUGGACUAGGUGGUAAAGCCUGCAGGGAGAGAGGGAGAAAGAGAUGGACUAGGUGGUAAAGCCUGCAGGGAGAGAGAGAUGGACUAGGUGGUAAAGCCUGCAGAGGGAGAGAGAGAGAGAGAUGGACUAGGUGGUAAAGCCUGCAGAGGGAGAGAGAGAGAGAUGGACUAGGUGGUAAAGCCUGCAGAGGGAGAGAGAGAGAGAUGGACUAGGUGGUAAAGCCUUCAGGGAGAGAGAGAUGGACUAGUUGGUAAAGCCUGCAGAGGGAGAGAGAGAGAUGGACUAGGUGGUAAAGCCUGCAGAGAGAGAGAGAGAGAGAGAGAGAUGGACUAGGUGGUAAAUCCUGCAGGGAGAGAGAGAGAGAUGGACUAGGUGGUAAAGCCUGCAGAGGGAGAGAGAGAGAGAUGGACUAGGUGGUAAAGCCUGCAGAGGGAGAGAGAGAGAGAUGGACUAGGUGGUAAAGCCUUCAGGGAGAGAGAGAUGGACUAGUUGGUAAAGCCUGCAGAGGGAGAGAGAGAGAUGGACUAGGUGGUAAAGCCUGCAGAGAGAGAGAGAGAGAGAUGGACUAGGUGGUAAAGCCUGCAGAGGGAGAGAGAGAGAGAUGGACUAGGUGGUAAAGCCUGCAGAGGGAGAGAGAGAGAGAUGGACUAGGUGGUAAAGCCUGCAGAGGGAGAGAGAGAGAGAUGGACUAGGUGGUAAAGCCUGCAGAGGGAGAGAGAGAGAGAUGGACUAGGUGGUAAAUCCUGCAGGGAGAGAGAUGGACUAGGUGGUAAAGCCUGCAGAGGGAGAGAGAGAGAGAUGGACUAGGUGGUAAAGCCUGCAGAGGGAGAGAGAGAGAGAUGGACUAGGUGGUAAAGCCUGCAGAGGGAGAGAGAGAGAGAUGGACUAGGUGGUAAAGCCUGCAGGGAGAGAGAGAGAGAGCUGGACUAGGUAGUUAUGCCAGCAGGGAGAGAGAGAGAGAUGGACUAGGUGGUAAAGCCAGUGUAACAGUACUCGUCUUGCGUUGUGUACAAUCAGUCAUCGACACGGAACUCCAACAUGUAGCACCAGUCAUGUAGCUUUAUUCUGAUAAGAACGAC
rnacentral:lncRNA from 1 species